rnacentral:rRNA from 1 species
AUGCCUCCCUCAUUCUCACGUCGACAUCUUGAGCCUUCUUCCGAAUCGAUGUCGCCGAAGUACCAUGGCAUGAGGCUUCAGCCAUGGAGCAAGUGGACGGAGGAGAUCCGUAACCCGCAAGCGGUGGCGCGGGUGUGGCUUGUCACGUACCUACCCCUGACUUUUCUCCACGCGCAGUACUCAGGAGAGGAGGAGCGCCUCGCGCCUCUGUACAAACACGGCCCCGCCGGUUCCGGCCAACCAGGCUGCCGGUCAACGAGCCUCCCAGCAACGCCGACUCUGGCGCCACACAACACGCUUGGCUGCCUUCCAUGGCCUCCGGCCACAAGAUGA